rnacentral:rRNA from 1 species
AGAGUUUGAUCCUGGCUCAGAUUGAACGCUGGCGGCAGGCCUAACACAUGCAAGUCGAGCGGCAGCGCAAGGGAGUUUACUCCUGAGGCGGCGAGCGGCGGACGGGUGAGUAAUGCCUAGGGAUCUGCCCAGUCGAGGGGGAUAACAGUUGGAAACGACUGCUAAUACCGCAUACGCCCUACGGGGGAAAGGAGGGGACCUUCGGGCCUUCCGCGAUUGGAUGAACCUAGGUGGGAUUAGCUAGUUGGUGAGGUAAUGGCUCACCAAGGCGACGAUCCCUAGCUGUUCUGAGAGGAUGAUCAGCCACACUGGGACUGAGACGCGGCCCAGACUCCUACGGGAGGCAGCAGUGGGGAAUAUUGCACAAUGGGGGAAACCCUGAUGCAGCCAUGCCGCGUGUGUGAAGAAGGCCUUCGGGUUGUAAAGCACUUUCAGUAGGGAGGAAAGGGUGUAACUUAAUACGUUAUAUCUGUGACGUUACCUACAGAAGAAGGACCGGCUAACUCCGUGCCAGCAGCCGCGGUAAUACGGAGGGUCCGAGCGUUAAUCGGAAUUACUGGGCGUAAAGCGUGCGCAGGCGGUUUGUUAAGCGAGAUGUGAAAGCCCUGGGCUCAACCUAGGAAUAGCAUUUCGAACUGGCGAACUAGAGUCUUGUAGAGGGGGGUAGAAUUCCAGGUGUAGCGGUGAAAUGCGUAGAGAU